CCUACGGGAGGCAGCAGUGGGGAAUAUUGGACAAUGGGGGAAACCCUGAUCCAGCGACGCCGCGUGAGUGAAGAAGUAUUUCGGUACGUAAAGCUCUAUCAGCAGGAAAGAAAAUGACGGUACCUGACUAAGAAGCCCCGGCUAACUACGUGACAGCAGCCGCGGUAAUACGUAGGGGGCAAGCGUUAUCCGGAUUUACGGGGUGUAAAGGGAGCGUAGACGGCGGCGCAAGUCUGGAGUGAAAUGCCGGGGCCCAACCCCGGAACUGCACGGGAAACUGUGAGGCUGGAGUGGAGGAGAGGUAGGCGGAAUUCGGGGUGUAGCGGUGAAAUGGGGAGAUAUCAGGAGGAAGGCCGAGGGCGAAGGCGGCUUACGGGAGUGUAACUGACGUUGAGGCUCGAAGGGGUGGGGAGCAAACAGGAUUAGAGACCCGGGUAGUG
rnacentral:rRNA from 1 species